UUAUUUUCUCCAAUAGUUUGGGAGACAGACUUCUAGAACGGAGUUCACAUUUAAUACCAAUAACCUCAGGAAAUAUCUGUCCCCUGAGAUUCCCAGAAACGGAACUGCCGGACGAGCGUCCUCAGGUUCAUUCCCAGGGAAACUGGCUGAUGGGGAAUUAAUUAAUGGGUCCAAUAAGGAGGCUGCCAGCAUUGUCCCACCACAAUCUGAGCUCUGGCCUCAUUUGCAUGUCUCCUUUAUUCUAAACAAUAGCACUGCUGAGAUUUCAGCAUGAAAUUGUUAGCUCAUUAAAGAGGACACAAUCGUAUCCA